rnacentral:misc_RNA from 1 species
AACGAGGCCGACCUGCGGCUGAGUUACCUGCGGAGGGAUCAUUAACAAUUGUCCACUAUCAUGGAUAAUUUUAUCCAUAUCCACCUUGUGUGAAUUACAGAAUGUUUAUUGGCAGGUUGAAAGGUUUCCCGCAAUGGGGAUCUUUGUGUGUGAGCGUUCAGCGCUCGGCCUGCCAAUUUUAUUUGUUUAAACAUGUCUAAAUAUUACUAGUCUGAAAUACUUAUUACACAAUAAUAAAUA